CGGAGUGAGUAAUGUCUGGGAAACUGCCCGAUGGAGGGGGAUAACUACUGGAAACGGUAGCUAAUACCGCAUAACGUCGCAAGACCAAAGAGGGGGACCUUCGGGCCUCUUGCCAUCGGAUGUGCCCAGAUGGGAUUAGCUAGUAGGUGGGGUAACGGCUCACCUAGGCGACGAUCCCUAGCUGGUCUGAGAGGAUGACCAGCCACACUGGAACUGAGACACGGUCCAG
rnacentral:rRNA from 1 species